UCCCUGGUAGUAUAUCGGUUAGUACACGCGCCUGUCAUGCAUUGUAAAGAGACGCCUUCGACGCGCGAAAGCUGGGUUCGACUCCCAGCCAGGGAG